rnacentral:rRNA from 2 species
AAACUUUCAACAACGGAUCUCUUGGUUCUGGCAUCGAUGAAGAACGCAGCGAAAUGCGAUAAGUAAUGUGAAUUGCAGAAUUCAGUGAAUCAUCGAAUCUUUGAACGCACAUUGCGCCCCCUGGUAUUCCGGGGGGCAUGCCUGUGCGAGCGUCAUU